GAUUCUACCAACAUACACGGUUUCCACCCUGACGAGGUUACUUCAGACCCAGAGGUGGAAAGCAUAACAGAGACAAACUAUGCAGACUUUUUGCCCACUGACCAGACCUGUUCAGACACAGACGAGUCUUUGGACAUGAGUGAAUUCUGCUCAGACGAAUUUUCUACAGAAGGAUCUUUAUACAUGAGUGAAUUCUCAAAUUCAGAGGGUGAUUCUGUAUUAGAUUUUUUUGGAUCAGAUGAUCAAAUGCCUGAAGGUGCAUAUGACUCAGAGAGUGAAAGCGAGGUUCCAACUCCGACAGAUGAUCCACUACACAAAAUUGGUACAGACACAGGGAUGGACACACUUCUGGAAUCAACAGGCUCAAUCACAAAGGCAGAGGCCCUGCUUUUGAUAAUGUG